UGACAGGUGCUGCAUGGCUGUCGUCAGCUCGUGUCGUGAGAUGNUGGGUUAAGUCCCGCAACGAGCGUAACCCUUGUCUUUAGUUGCCAGUAUUUAGUUAGGCACUCUAAAGAGACUGCCUCGGUUAACGGGGAGGAAGGUGGGGAUGACGUCAAGUCCUCAUGGCCUUUAUACCCAGGGCUACACACGUGCUACAAUGGGCUGUACAAAGGGUAGCUAAUUCGCGAGGAAGCGCUAAUCCCAAAAAGCAGCUCUCAGUUCGGAUUGGAGUCUGCAACUCGACUCCAUGAAGGUGGAAUCGCUAGUAAUCGUGGAUCAGCACGCCACGGUGAAUACGUUCCCGGGCCUUGUACACACCGCCCGUCACACCACGAAAGUCGACUGUACCAGAAGUUGNUGGGCUAACUCCGUUUACGGAGAGGCAGGUACCUAAGGUACGGCCGGUAAUUGGGGUGAAGUCGUAACAAG
rnacentral:rRNA from 1 species